ACCUGUGACAUGGCAGGUAAAGGCUGCCAAGACAUAGUGUGUACUCUGCAGAAAACAACUACCUGCUAUAGCUGGAUAUGAAGCUGAUGAGAGCUGUGAGAGUCAACCAAAACAGGAGGUCGGAGGUCAGGGUCAGCUGCAGAGCA